UUAAAUUGAAGAGUUUGAUCAUGGCUCAGAUUGAACGCUGGCGGCAGGCCUAACACAUGCAAGUCGAACGGUAACAGGAAGCAGCUUGCUGCUUUGCUGACGAGUGGCGGACGGGUGAGUAAUGUCUGGGAAACUGCCUGAUGGAGGGGGAUAACUACUGGAAACGGUGGCUAAUACCGCAUAACGUCGCAAGACCAAAGAGGGGGACCUUCGGGCCUCUUGCCAUCAGAUGUGCCCAGAUGGGAUUAGCUUGUUGGUGAGGUAACGGCUCACCAAGGCGACGAUCCCUAGCUGGUCUGAGAGGAUGACCAGCCACACUGGAACUGAGACACGGUCCAGACUCCUACGGGAGGCAGCAGUGGGGAAUAUUGCACAAUGGGCGCAAGCCUGAUGCAGCCAUGCCGCGUGUAUGAAGAAGGCCUUCGGGUUGUAAAGUACUUUCAGCGGGGAGGAAGGUGUUGUGGUUAAUAACCGCAGCAAUUGACGUUACCCGCAGAAGAAGCACCGGCUAACUCCGUGCCAGCAGCCGCGGUAAUACGGAGGGUGCAAGCGUUAAUCGGAAUUACUGGGCGUAAAGCGCACGCAGGCGGUCUGUCAAGUCGGAUGUGAAAUCCCCGGGCUCAACCUGGGAACUGCAUUCGAAACUGGCAGGCUUGAGUCUUGUAGAGGGGGGUAGAAUUCCAGGUGUAGCGGUGAAAUGCGUAGAGAUCUGGAGGAAUACCGGUGGCGAAGGCGGCCCCCUGGACAAAGACUGACGCUCAGGUGCGAAAGCGUGGGGAGCAAACAGGAUUAGAUACCCUGGUAGUCCACGCCGUAAACGAUGUCUACUUGGAGGUUGUGCCCUUGAGGCGUGGCUUCCGGAGCUAACGCGUUAAGUAGACCGCCUGGGGAGUACGGCCGCAAGGUUAAAACUCAAAUGAAUUGACGGGGGCCCGCACAAGCGGUGGAGCAUGUGGUUUAAUUCGAUGCAACGCGAAGAACCUUACCUGGUCUUGACAUCCACGGAAGUUUUCAGAGAUGAGAAUGUGCCUUCGGGAACCGUGAGACAGGUGCUGCAUGGCUGUCGUCAGCUCGUGUUGUGAAAUGUUGGGUUAAGUCCCGCAACGAGCGCAACCCUUAUCCUUUGUUGCCAGCGGUUAGGCCGGGAACUCAAAGGAGACUGCCAGUGAUAAACUGGAGGAAGGUGGGGAUGACGUCAAGUCAUCAUGGCCCUUACGACCAGGGCUACACACGUGCUACAAUGGCGCAUACAAAGAGAAGCGACCUCGCGAGAGCAAGCGGACCUCAUAAAGUGCGUCGUAGUCCGGAUUGGAGUCUGCAACUCGACUCCAUGAAGUCGGAAUCGCUAGUAAUCGUGGAUCAGAAUGCCACGGUGAAUACGUUCCCGGGCCUUGUACACACCGCCCGUCACACCAUGGGAGUGGGUUGCAAAAGAAGUAGGUAGCUUAACCUUCGGGAGGGCGCUUACCACUUUGUGAUUCAUGACUGGGGUGAAGUCGUAACAAGGUAACCGUAGGGGAACCUGCGGUUGGAUCACCUCCUUACCUGAAAGAA
rnacentral:rRNA from 1 species